ACGAACCGUCCAAACGUUAUUCGGAAUCACUGGGCUUAAAGGGCGCGUAGGCGGCCGAGCGGGUCACGGGUGAAAUCCCCCAGCUUAACUGGGGAACUGCCCUUGAUACCACUGCGGCUCGAGGAAGGAAGGGGCAAUCGGAACUGUCGGUGGAGCGGUGAAAUGCGUUGAUAUCGACAGGAACGCCGGUGGCGAAAGCGGAUUGCUGGUCCUUUUCUGACGCUGAGGCGCGAAAGCCAGGGGAGCAAACGGGAUUAGAUACCCCGGUAGUCCUGGCCUUAAACGAUGAGAACUAGGUAGUGGGUCCGACCUGGGCACACUGCCGAAGCGAAAGUCUUAAGUUCUCCGCCUGGGGAGUAUGGUCGCAAGGCUG
rnacentral:rRNA from 1 species